GACGGAGGAUGCAAGUGUUAUCCGGAAUCACUGGGCGUAAAGCGUCUGUAGGUGGUUUAAUAAGUCAACUGUUAAAUCUUGAGGCUCAACCUCAAAAUCGCAGUCGAAACUAUUAGGCUAGAGUAUAGUAGGGGUAAAGGGAAUUUCCAGUGGAGCGGUGAAAUGCGUAGAUAUCGGAAGGAACACCUGUGGCGAAAGCGGCUCACUGGACCAUU
rnacentral:rRNA from 1 species